GACGAACGCUGGCGGCGUGCUUAACACAUGCAAGUCGAACGGAAAGGCCCUGCUUUUGUGGGGUGCUCGAGUGGCGAACGGGUGAGUAACACGUGAGUAACCUGCCCUUGACUUUGGGAUAACUUCAGGAAACUGGGGCUAAUACCGGAUAGGAGCUCCUGCUGCAUGGUGGGGGUUGGAAAGUUUCGGCGGUUGGGGAUGGACUCGCGGCUUAUCAGCUUGUUGGUGGGGUAGUGGCUUACCAAGGCUUUGACGGGUAGCCGGCCUGAGAGGGUGACCGGCCACAUUGGGACUGAGAUACGGCCCAGACUCCUACGGGAGGCAGCAGUGGGGAAUAUUGCACAAUGGGCGGAAGCCUGAUGCAGCAACGCCGCGUGCGGGAUGACGGCCUUCGGGUUGUAAACCGCUUUCGCCCGUGACGAUGCGUGAGUGACGGUAAUGGGUAAAGAAGCACCGGCUAACUACGUG
rnacentral:rRNA from 1 species